rnacentral:rRNA from 1 species
UACAGAGACUGCAAGCGUUAUUCGGAUUCACUGGGCGUAAAGGGUGCGCAGGCGGCCGUGUGUGUGAGGCGUGAAAGCCCGGGGCUUAACCCCGGAAUUGCACCUCAAACUACACGGCUAGAGCAUUGGAGAGGGUAGCGGAAUUCACGGUGUAGCAGUGAAAUGCGUAGAUAUCGUGAGGAACACCAGAGGCGAAGGCGGCUACCUGGACAAUUGCUGACGCUCAGGCACGAAAGCGUGGGGAGCAAACAGG